UUUCAGGUAUUGUAGUGGUCUGCAUGUGUUGAAGGGGUCUAACACGGUGGAGGUUCAAUUCCUUCCCUGAUAA